CGCCUAGGCCCAGGCUGGAGAUUCAGUUCAACGGGCCUGGACAAAGGUUUGUUUUUUGGUUUUUUGGCAAAAGUUGUCUGGAACAAUUCCUAGGCAAUUCUGAGAUGCAACCAGGGUUGAGAGCCACUGACAUGAAGGACUGUGAAAAAGACUCAGGGAAUUCACAUAAGGAAAGGGCGCAUGUCAACCUGGGCUGAAACUGUCGUGCUACAGGAUUCCGAGACGCACAUGAGCUGCCCAAACAGGAACAACCAGGACUCGGGACUGAGUUCAAUCUUAAAAACAAACCAAACAACCAAAACCAAAACAGCUACCAAAGGCAGAAAACAAAAUGAAUUCCACACCUCUGAAUAUCUAAAUAUCAUUAAAAGGCAAAUGAAAAGCUGGGAAAAAGAUGUUUGAAGUAUAUAGGAGAGGAGUUUAAUGUCAUUAAUGUGCACUUACAAAUCAAUAAGAAAAUGUGAAUACCUUGAUAAAAAGUUGGAUAAAGGAUAUAAACAAGUAAUGCACAGUACAAGCGAUACAAAUGGCACUAACCAUAGAAAAACCCUCACUUGUAAUCAAAGAAGUACAACUGAAAACAAAACAAAAAAAGUGAUCUUUCUGAUUAUUAAAUUGGCAGAUUAAAAAUAAAAAUAAAAUCUGAGUUGGUGACUA